UGGAGCAGCGGGCAUCUAGUGCAUUAGAAAAGAAAAUCGUAUCAGUUUAACUUAAUGCGUGAAAGUACAAGGUUACAAGACAAUGAGAUGAAGGAUGCUUGGGCUGUUUGUGCCAUGGUCGUCAAUGAGUACGACUUGAAGUCACUUUGACGGACAUCUUAUAGUAAACUGAGAGGUCAAUAGAAUCCAAACUAAAGACCUGAGAGGCCCUAUAUAGUUGUAGAUGUAGAUUUAAAAGUGUAUGAAAUAGAAUAAACCUUAAUAAA